rnacentral:rRNA from 1 species
AUCAACUCUUAGGACUCGUUCUCAGAUCAGGCGAGAUUACCCGCUGAACUUAAGCAUAUCACUAAGCGGAGGAAAAGAAACUAACCAGGAUUCCCCUAGUAACGGCGAGUGAACCGGGAGGAGCUCAAGCUGAAAAUCCUUUUGGAAUUGUAGUCUAUAGGUGCAGACUCGUGCAAACCCGGGUAUAAAUCCGUUCAUGGAACUGGGUGCCAGAGAGGGUUAGAGCCCCGUCUUCGACCCUGGGUCUUGUGCGUGGCGAGUAUGCACCAGAGAGUCGGCUUGCUUGGGAAUGCAGGUCAAAAUGGGUGGUAAACUUCAUCUAAAGCUAAAUAUUGGCGAGAGACCGAUAGCGAACAAGUACUGUGAAGGAAAGAUGGAAAGAACUUUGAAAAGAGAGUGAAAAAGGGCUUGAAAUUGUUAAGAGGAGAAGUGAUUGGAGCAUAUCAUACCUUGAUGGACCAAUGGCUGGGAUUUAUCCUGGGCAAUUUCAGUCCUUUCGGGUUGGUCAGCAUCGGUUUGGUCUUGGGGAGACUACUUUUAUCGUGAAACCUAGUGAUCGGUAGAUGUGAAACCCGGGGCGAGACCGAGGCACGAAGAACGCGCAUAGCGACCGGCCCGAGCCCUUCUAUAUUGCAGUGCAACACUCUUCGGAGUGUUGUCUGUACUGUGGUUGAUGUUUGGUGUGCAGGAACUGCGUUCUGAAGAUGCUGGCACAAUGGCUUCAAUCAGCCCGUCUUGAAACACGGACCAAGGAGUCUAACACAUAUGCAAGUAGUAAGGUGGCAAACCUUGGAUGCGCAAUGAAAGUAAACGCAGGUGGGAUUCGCAAGAUGCACCAUCGACCGACCAGGAUCAUCAGUGAAAGGUUUGAGUAAGAGCAUAUUUGUUGGGACCCGAAAGAUGGUGAACUAUGCCUGAAUAGGGUGAAGCCAGAGGAAACUCUGGUGGAGGCUCGUAGCGGUACUGACGUGCAAAUCGUUCGUCAAAUUUGGGUAUAGCGGCGAAAGACUAAUCGAACCAUCUAGUAGCUGGUUCCCUCCGAAGUUUCCCUUAGGAUAGCU